rnacentral:rRNA from 1 species
AUGUCACUCAAGGAUAAAGAGGAACUUCACAACAAAUCAAGUGGUGCUUACAAAGCCUCAUGUGAAGCCCCCAAAUCAUCGAGUGAGAAACAAACCUUCAAUGAAGAAUUGAGCUUAAUGGUGAAGAACUUCAACAAGUUCUACAAGAGUAGAAGCAAAGAGAGAAGCUCCAAGUCAAGGUCCUACGAUGACAAAAGAUCUUCUAGUCGAGAGAGAAAUUGCUACAAUUGUGGAAGGCCCGGACACUAUUCCAAUGAGUGUACGGCCCCCUACAAGAGAAGAGAAGAUUCUCCCAAGAGAAGAAGUAGAAGAGAAGAAUCACCAUCUAGAGAAAGAAGGAGUAGAGAUGAUCGUUAUGAACGAAGACCCUCACGGAGAAGCAAGGAUUCGGAAAGAAAGGACAAGUCAUCAAGGAGCUACACAAAACGAAGACACCAAGCUCAUGUUGGUGAAUGGGUAUCCAGCUCCGACUCCGACAACCACUCCGAGAGAAGCUAUCACUCCGACUCCGAAUAUACUCAAGAUGAAGGUGUGGCCGGUCUAGCACUUGUGACAACCAACUCCUACGACAUAUUUGACUCACCAAAUGAAGGAGUUGGAACAUGCUUCAUGGCUAAAGGCCCAAAGGUAUCACACCCCGAGUAUGUUGAUUUCAAUAGUGAUGAAGAUGACUUGUUAGGUGAUGAUGAUUUACUUGUUGACAACUCUAGUGAUGAAUACUAUGAUGAAACGUCAAUUAAUCAUGCUAAUCAAGAUAAAACGAAUGACAAUGAUAAGGAGAAGAAUGAGUCUCUAACUAAAGAACUAAACACUCUUAAGUUAGCUCAUGAAACUAUCUUAGGAGAUCAUCGAGAACUUUUAAGGGCUCAUGAGAAAUUACGCUUUGAAAAGCUCAACCUUGAGCAAGAGCAUGAGUUCUUAAAAGCAAUCAAUGAUGAUCUUCGCAAGAAAAGUUCUUCUUACAUUGCCAAGCGUUUACUCUUAUCCACUUACAUGCCUCAAGUCAAGUCUAGUAACAAGAACAAGAAAGAUUCUUCCUCUAGUAGUAACAAUAAUCAUGCUAAAUCCAAUAUUGUUGCUUCUAGUAGUUCUCUUGAUUCCACUAAUGAUUCUCUUAGCCAAGUUACACUUGAGCAAGAAAAUAGCUUAUUGAAGGGAAUUAUAGAGAAAGGUGUUUACAAGAGCCUUGCCGGAAGUAAGCAAUUCGAGAAAAUUGUACGCAUGCAAGGAAGGCACCAGAAGAAUCAAGGUGUUGGUUUUGAACGAAAGUUCAAUGCCAAUGGAGUUGAGUGGGAAGAAGAUCAAUACCCCAAGACGAAGUUUGUUCCUCAACAAGAGAAGUAUGAUCCUACUUCUCUCAAAGGGACACAAGCUCAAGAUGAUCUUCCACCACAAGACCACAAGCAAAAAGGCAAGGACAAGCUUCAAGAGGAAAUUGAUGCAUUUGAAGAAGCUCCUAAGGCCUUGGUCAAGUGGGUUCCCAAGACUACUUCAAGUUCGACUUCAUCAAGUACAACUACAACACCGAGGAUUCCCAUCAAGAUGGUGUGGAUCCCGAAGAAGAACUAG